rnacentral:rRNA from 1 species
GACGAACGUUGGCGGUGCGCUUCAUGCAUGCAAGUCGAGGGAGAAGCAACCGUUCCGUAAGGUUCGGUUGUGGAAACCGGCGAACGGGUGCGUAACACGUGAGAAACCUGCCCCAAAGACUGGGAUAGCCCAGGGAAACUUGGAUUAAUACCGGAUACUCUCUUUGAGCCGCAUGGCUCGUUGAGGAAAUGGUCCGCCGCUUUGGGAUGGUCUCGCGGCCUAUCAGCUAGUUGGUGAGGUAACGGCUCACCAAGGCGAAGACGGGUAGCUGGUCUGAGAGGACGAUCAGCCACACUGGAACUGAGACACGGUCCAGACUCCUACGGGAGGCAGCAGCAGGGAAUAUUGCACAAUGGGCGAAAGCCUGAUGCAGCGACACCGCGUGCGGGAUGACGGCCUUCGGGUUGUAAACCGCUUUCAGGAGGGAAGAAAAUGACGGUACCUCCAGAAGAAGCUCCGGCCAACUACG